AAGUCACUACGAAGAUACAUAUGUAAAUAGCAGUGGGUAUUAUAAUUAGCCUCUGUGUUCUGUGUACGUUUGUAUAGAGACCUGCACAGUUUGGCUUAUUUCUGUUCCUAUCUCAUCGGGUCAUGUUAGUACGCCCUCCACACUCCUCAAAGACCCCAAAUUCUCCAGAUUUGAUACCCUCAUCGCCAAAAAUCUAAUUAAUUUUCCGAAACGUACGUGGCUUCACUACGAUGCCUCCACACUGGUCGCAACACCAACCAAGAGAUGAAUAUGGACGAUUCCAGAGAGUGAAGAAAGUUGCGCCUAAGGAAUUCGUCAUCAGUCGUAACCCGUCAGCUCAAACAAACGAUAAGCAAGUUAACGCUAAACAUAAGCAAUUUAGGGCAACGCAAUAAUGAUUUCUUUCGUAUAUUUUGCACGGUUUGGGAGGACAUUUUUUCAAACAACAAUUUAUUUUAGUGUGAAUUUACGGUAUGAGGACUUGAUAUUCAAAACUGAAUAGUUUUAUUAAUUAGAACCAAGCUUUCAACAAUUGUACAUAUUUUCAUUUCGAUUUCGUUCAAAUUGUUUUCAUAAAUGUGUAAUAUAAGCAUAACUACAAUAGACAUAAGAAUGAAACUAUUUAUAACAUAAAUAUCUCCUCCAGUUUGUGUCCUUUUGGAAGGGAUCCUAAAAUGGAUGCUACAUUCCCUCUUUGAACAGUAAUACUCAUUCUCUGCAAUAAAAAGGAUGUCGCCCUCUUCUCUUCUGUGAGGUUCGUGAUUCUGGACCCGAUUGUACAUUGUUUUCAUCAGGGUUGCAGAAACAUAAUUUGCAAAAAUGGGGUCUACAAAUUUUUGUGAUACAUACAAUAAUAAUAUUUUCCUUGGUAAUUAUGGGGUCUUCAUAAGUGGUAGGAUGGUAGGGAUCCAAAUGGGGUUCACUUUUUUGCCAUCUUUGAUGUUCAUUCAUAGCAAUUUAAACAACAAUUUAUUGAUAGCUUUAGGAUCUUAUUGAUCCGAUCAAAUGUGAUAACAGUAAGAGUAAUUGUAGUUUAAAUAUCUUCAAAAAGAUGUAGUAUAAAUAAAUUCGCAAUCAAGUUACA